rnacentral:rRNA from 1 species
AACAGGAUUAGAUACCCUGGUAGUCCACGCUGUAUACGAUGUCGACUUGGAGGUUGUGCCCUUGAGGCGUGGCUUCCGGAGCUAACGCGUUAAGUCGACCGCCUGGGGAGUACGGCCGCAAGGUUAAAACUCAAAUGAAUUGACGGGGGCCCGCACAAGCGGUGGAGCAUGUGGUUUAAUUCGAUGCAACGCGAAGAACCUUACCUACUCUUGACAUCCAGAGAAUUUGCUAGAGAUAGCUUAGUGCCUUCGGGAACUCUGAGACAGGUGCUGCAUGGCUGUCGUCAGCUCGUGUUGUGAAAUGUUGGGUUAAGUCCCGCAACGAGCGCAACCCUUAUCCUUUGUUGCCAGCACGUAAUGGUGGGAACUCAAAGGAGACUGCCGGUGAUAAACCGGAGGAAGGUGGGGAUGACGUCAAGUCAUCAUGGCCCUUACGAGUAGGGCUACACACGUGCUACAAUGGCAUAUACAAAGAGAAGCGAACUCGCGAGAGCAAGCGGACCUCAUAAAGUAUGUCGUAGUCCGGAUUGGAGUCUGCAACUCGACUCCAUGAAGUCGGAAUCGCUAGUAAUCGUAGAUCAGAAUGCUACGGUGAAUACGUUCCCGGGCCUUGUACACACCGCCCGUCACACCAUGGGAGUGGGUUGCAAAAGAAGUAGGUAGCUUAACCUUCGGGAGGGCGCUUACCACUUUGUGAUUCAUGACUGGGGUGAAGUCGUAACAAGGUAACC